AUUCCAGCUCCAAUAGCGUAUAUUAAUGUUGUUGCAGUUAAAAAGCUCGUAGUUGGAUUUCUGGUCGGAACGCCGGUCCGGCUCCGCAAGGGGUCGUGUAUUGGUUUCUCCUGCCAUCCUCAGGGGGAGCUGCGCUGGUAUUCACUUAUCGGCGUGGUUACGCCUGUCGUUUACUGUGAACAAAUUAGAGUGUUCAAAGCAAGGUGUACUUGAAUACAUUAGCAUGGAAUAAUAAGAUAGGACUUUGGUGGUUCUUUUUAGAUAUUUUGUUGGUUUGCACGCCAAAGUAAUGAUUAAUAGGAGCAGUUGGGGGUAUUCGUAUUCAAUUGUCAGAGGUGAAAUUCUUGGAUUUAUAGAAGACGAACUACUGCGAAAGCAUUUACCAAGGAUGUUUUCAUUA
rnacentral:rRNA from 1 species